GCUAUACUGCUUUCCCAUGAAUUCAGACAAAGCCGCAGCUGGAGAAGGAUGUGGUGGAUACACAGAGAGAGAGACACUGAGGCACUAGAGUGGGAGGCAGGGAGUGGCUGCCGUGGCCCCUGGCUGUUUCCUGGUUUCUUGUGAGGCCUGGAUGCACUCCACACUUGGGUUCCAAGGAAACCUCCACCAGUUGGGAUUCAUAAAUGCAAGCAACAGAAACGGACUCUGGUCACAUGCCCAAACUCUUGCUGCAAGGGAGGCUGGAAAAGCAAGCAGCUAGCACUUCCACAUUCUUCACUGGGAAAUAAGCUCCACUUCUCAUCAAGACUCAUACGGUGGGAAAUUCGCCAGACUCUCCUGCAGGUGACUCCCAUUGGGAAAAUCCAACAAAAGCCGGAGAGUAAAGGAUCCUGUUGACAUAUGCCAUGCAGGUGUCGAUCCCAAGAGCACUCCCGAAGUAACUUCCUGCACGUUAAUCUCUAUCUCAGAGUCUGCUUUCCAGAGAACCCAACCUGUAGUCCUCCACCCCCACUGUAUCCAUGCCCAGUGGAAUGUGACUUUGCAGCUUCUCCAAUCAAGAGAUGAAGUCUAUUUCUCCACUCCUUGAAUCUAGGCUGGUCUUGUGACUUGCUUUGGUCAACAGAAUGAGGCAGAAGUGAUAUCAUACCAUUUCUGAGCCUGAGCCUCCAGAAGUCUUGCAUGCUUCUGCUCUCACUUUUGGAGCCCAGGCCAGCCUACUGGAACAUAAAAGAUGUAUGGCCAAGUCACAGCUGUUCCCCCCCUGACAGCCAACCAUCCCCCAGAAACAGAGCCACCCAGCUGACCACAGUGCAUGAAUGAGCUUGUCCAAGACCAGAAAUACUACCUACCUGAGCCUAGCCCAAAUUGCUGACCUGGAGAAUCAUGAGCUAAUAAACAGUGUUGUUUUAAGCCUG
rnacentral:lncRNA from 1 species